GGGAGGGAGAGAGGGAGAGAGGGAGAGAGAGAGAAGUGGUGUUACAGAGAUUGAGGGGUGAUUGUUAUGUUGUGAUAGAUGAAGUUGGAUCCAGUACUGUGGUUAGGGUAAAGGGUAGGUCAACAGAAUAGUAAAUAUAAGUUGUGUGUCCCUCCUCUCCUAUACUGGUGUCUGUAACAGUAAAACACAGGGAAUUCCCUUUUCUGCUCCCUCUGAUAAAUACACCUCCGGGGGAUGAUUUCUGAGUGUUUUUUGUGGGCCUUACACAGAAACACAGAGCAUCAAUGGGCGUCAACUGAGUGUUCUCAGAAUAGCACAGGAAGUGACUUGAUUUGACUAUGACAUCACUUCCAUGUGGGGUGGUCCAGAACAGUUUGUUCAGUUGGAACAAACGGUUUUGCUAAUGUCAUCGGGUGUGUUUAUGUGUGGUAGUCCAUGUUUACCUGUUAAAUUCACCUGUGACGACUUCUCAGUUGAAGCAGAACACACACAGUUCUGAAUCGUUGAAGCUCGCUCCCACCAAUGCUGGAGAACGGUCACUGUUUGGCUGGCCCCAAGGGUGUCUACACAUCAGGCCCUGAGUGUUGCGAGAAACCAGGCCAGCCUGUUCCAUAGACACACCCGACCCACACACACACACGCUCACACACACACGCUCACACACACACACGCACCCCUCUGUAGCUAUCACUCUGUCAGAGCUCCCAUUAGCGUCAUUGUUCCCUUGGUGACAACAGGGUCAGGGGUCACUUAGCAACGGCAGAAUGUUGAGGACAAUUCCUGUGAGGGAGACUGGAGCUCAGUGCUUCUGGCCUUUUGUUCCAGAACAUAGCCUCAAGUCUGAAAAUAGAUAUGGGCUUUAAUAUUUCCACACUGUAUUCCUCCGCAAAGUGAUGACACACUUAGUCAGAUGACGUCAUCCCAGCUGAUGACACGUUAAUGUAUAGAGAAUCUAUUUCCUUCUAUGAUAUGAGGAAGCCGGCGUGAUGUUCUACAUGACACUGAGCAUGAUGGAUCGUCUCCUCUCCUUCUGGCUCGCUGCCAAGAAGGGGUUUACAUGUCUUAGAGUAAGCUUCCUCUUUCCUUAUUCCCUCUCUGAUCAGACAGCACACCGUAAACACAAGGGGUGGUGAUCGAUACAAGCAGUGUGAGAGUUCUUCCCAGUAACAAAUGUUUUUGACAAGGUAAACAGCGGUGAUAAAUGACUAUAGUACUGGAAAAGCACGAGUGUACGUAUAUGACACCACCAGGCUGUGCUGCCAUGUACCUGUGCUUCAUGUAGUACCUGCGUCACACUACCUGUGUACUCUAAUGACCGUUAGAGGAGUGGCCCUAUAUAGUCCUUACAGUGCACUAUAAACUGAAUAAUCAGAUAAAGAUGAUAUUAUGACAAAGCUUAUCAUAUACUGGGAACCACGUACAUAUACGCUGGCAAAAGAACAUUCUGGGACUUGGAUAUGCUUACACCUAUGGCUAGUUUUUCUCUCUCUCUCUCUCUCUCUCUCUCUCUCUCUCUCUCUCUCUCUCUCUCUCUCUCUCUCUCUCUCUCUCUCUCUCUCUCUGGAGUGGCACUGCGACACAGAGUGAUUGAACCUUUAGAUAUUGUGGCGGGCGGAGAUCAAAAACUUCCUGUAGUUAUUGAUUUGUAGGGAAGGAGAGGUGCCUGAGGAAUGAUUUGUAGGGAAGGAGAGGUGCCUGAGGAAUGAUUUGUAGGGAAGGAGAGGUGCCUGAGGAAUGAUUUGUAGGGAAGGAGAGGUGCCUGAGGAAUGAUUUGUAGGGAAGGAGAGGUGCCUGAGGAAUGAUUUGUAGGGAAGGAGAGGUGCCUGAGGAAUGAUUUGUAGGGAAGGAGAGGUGCCUGAGGAAUGAUUUGUAGGGAAGGAGAGGAGCCUGAGGAAUGAUUUGUAGGUAAGGAGAGGAGCCUGAGGAAUGAUUUGUAGGGAAGGAGAGGUGCCUGAGGAAUGAUUUGUAGGGAAGGAGAGGAGCCUGAGGAAUGAUUUGUAGGGAAGGAGAGGAGCCUGAGGAAUGAUUUGUAGGGAAGGAGAGGAGCCUGAGGAAUGAUUUGUAGGGAAGGAGAGGAGCCUGAGGAAUGAUUUGUAGGUAAGGAGAGGAGCCUGAGGAAUGCUCUUCAGAUGUACAGUCAUUGAUUCUAGAGGUGGAAGAGAGAAGUGCACAGACACCGAGGGCUUUGGACUGGCCGUGAGUCAGCAACCAAACACUGGGCGCCUUUGAGGAGAACCGCUAUGGUGCUGGGGGGAGGUCAGAAAUAGUUGGCUCAUUUACCAUCUGCAUAUCCAACGAUAGAGAAAUUAUAUAUUCUUCUCUGGAGACCGUGACAUAAACUUCUAGCCUAAUCAUCAUUCAUUCGCCUACACAGUACUAUCAGAUGUCUGAACUUGAAGAUUUCUCUCUUGAUAAACAAUGUUGUACAGUCAUAGCGUGGCUGCUGGAAAAUUAGUUUACGGUAAAAAGGAGCUCUCUUUUUGGGAAGUUGCCUUGGCGAUGGGCCAACAGGGAGUCCGUCUGCGGUCAAUUUUUGGGACUUUGUGUGUGUGUGUGUGUGUGUGUGAGUUUUUAUUAUUUGCCACCAUGUUGAAAGACAUUCUGCUUCCUGACAUUUGAGUGUUGUUGUGACUCAGUGUUUGUGGCCUGUGUCAAAAUGAAAAGCAAAUGUGUCCCAUCUCAAAUGGAUUUUAGGGCUUUAGUAAGAAAAUAACAGUCCUCAGUUUGCUGCGGUAGAUGUUUGUCAGAGACUAAGAAUGUACUGUACAGAUAUACUAUCUUAAUUUGACCAGUUUGGCACAGCAGGAAAAUAAUCCUGCAGGAACAGGAAAUGUGAAUUAUUAUGUGGAUUGUAAUUAAUGGAUGUUUUUGUAGGGCUUGAUUCAUAAAAAAUAAAAAAAUGUUUUUAUCAAGUCUGACAAUUUAAAGUGGAAAUGACAUACUUAAGAAGUCUUUUUAAACCUCAAAUACACUACAAUUUGCAUUUCCUGUUGCACCUCAAAAUUCUCUGCGACAACACUAUGAUGAAAUUAUGAUAGCACAUCUGUGUAUAAUUGGUUUACUGUUAACGUGAACCACUUUCUAAAGAUAUGUGAGUUUUGUCUCAGCUUAAUUCCAAGGAGGGUGAUGGUUCCCCCCUUUCCCCUCUCUUGCAAUACACACACACAAACACACACCCUGUCAGUUGGGAGGUGUGGAGAUAAACAGGAGGCUGAUCACAGCAGCCCUGAAUGCCACAUCAUUUAGUGACUCACCCUGCCGUCAUCCAGCCCUCCGGGGGUCACACACGUCACCCAGAGCCCCACAACACAGCCCCUCUUCCUGGCAUGGGCUAACUCUGCCUGCCCCCCCCCCCGGCCUACUCAUCCCUUACUGGCUUCCUGGCAGCCUGCUCCUGAGCCGGAGUUGAAGAGAGUCUCUGUUUUUCCCUCUCGCACAUUUCCAGAGCCUUUCAGUCUCAUACGCAGAAAAACAAGGGCUAUUUUUUUAACCGUGCUCCAAUUAGGCUGUUAAGAUUGUUUAUCUGUUUCCGCGAAAGACGUGUCCUCCCGGCUUGCAGUGGCACAGAAAAUGGACGAAAGUUCGUCCCGUUCCCGGAACUGGAUCCAAACAAAGGCAGAUGUUUAAGAUUCUUUAGAAAGCGAGGAGACGCACUUGUUAUUGUCCUCUUUUUCUCUGACCGUGGAAAAAUACUUUGGAGGGUUAUGGAGAAACGUCAGCCUGCCUUGUGUGUGUUCUGAAAAUCCAGGAACUCUUAAAUCUUAUCUUAUGAUGUGGGCUUAUUUUUGUGUGUGUGUGUGGCAUUCAAGUGUGUGGCACUGUACUGUAUUCCUCGCUUACUGCAUAGAUGCAUGUUCGAUAGUAUUUGAUUAAAAGCCCCUACUUACUCCACAACCAUGAUGGAUGUUCUGUUCUCCCUCCAUCAGACUGAUCUGCCAUUAGCAUAGCUCCACACAGCGGGCCAUCAGUACAGCCUAUUGCUCUGCAUGGCCCAUGCAUGAACCCCUAGUGCAGCUAGCACUCGCGCGCUGAUGCACAUUAACACACACAUGAGCCCAGCGAUACACACUAGGCUUAACCGCAUUAUCUGGAAAGAGGUACUGACAGAGACACUUAUCCAGUAAUGGAGGGUCUUUAUUGGUUAACUCCUGGAAUGGCCCUCAGAGAAUGGCCCCAUCAUCCAGUUUAAUGCCUUAUCACCACAUCUGUACUGAACGUGUGGCAUCAUCUGUCACGGUUCACAUACUGUACAGCACAGGGUCUUUGACGGGGCUGCAGUCUCCUUCAUUAUCAUUACUCAGUUGGCACUCUUGUUUUGUAGCAUCCUACGCAGAUUAACACCCACGCGCACACACAGAAACACACACACCCAAUAUUCACAUCAUGGACACCGGUGCAUGUUGGCUGUGUACCCUAUCACGAAAGAUCUGUUUCAAUGUGCAACCUCCUCCUUUAGCUUCUUCCAUUGACUUUCCAUAGACUUUCUUGAUCAGGAAUCCAAUAAUGAGACUUAAGCCCGAGUUUCCAGGGGUUCUGAAAAGACUAGGAGGGAAGGUAUUAAUCAGUAGUAUGUCAACACUGAUUCACUGUCUCUGAUGAAAUGCCAGUCACUCCUUUGAGCCUCUUCAGCACCACAUUCCGCUACACAGUUCCUGGAACAAUUAUGUCAAUAUAAUGGCUCAGAUGCUAUCUUUACGGGAAUGAAGGAUAAGCUCAGGUCAGUGAUGAUGUAGUCCCAGGGGGAUAGAGGGGUUUGACGUGCUGCCUGUUGAAGACAGCCCAGUAGGGAGAACUUAGAGAGGAGUCAGUCAUCAGGCCUCAUAAAGCUCUGGAUGACUCACUGUUAACACCUCAGCAGUGUGCGCUCUCUAUUCCGCUAUAGUGAGUCCCAUCAGAACAGUGUUUCUCACAUUUAUCAGAUGACUGAUUCGCAUUAUAUUAGAUGUGUUGUCAUGGUGGGAAAGAUGCUCUGACUGAUGACUCAUAAUCCCUUUAACCUCCCACACGUAUCGACACACACACACACACACACACACACACACACACACACACACACACACACACACACACACACACACACACACACACAAUACACACACACACAAAACCCGUAGGUAAGUAAUGCCAUAUCCGGCAGGAGGGGUAACCUUGUCGUCUGAUUUUCAUAAUGGCAGUGAGUAAUUCUUCCUGUGUAAUGAGAACAUCCUUUCCAGAGUCAACCCUCUAUCAUCCCCCAUCUCCUUUCAUCAUUCAUCCUCCUCUUAUGCACCUUGACCACAAUCAACCCUCUCGCAGUCACCCCACAUCCACAGAGCUCCGUCUGUCUGUCUCCUCCUCUUGUGUGAGGCGUUUAUGUGUGUUUGAAACUCAGAGUGGACGACUUGCAGCACAUACCGUUUCCACCCUUUUCUGAAACUAACAAAUUAAUAACCUUGUGUCACUUUUUUGGAUGAGUAUAAGAUGAAGUCUAAUCUCACUAAAUAGGUGUGCCGCAAGGCAGAUGUGCCCAUACAAGUUUGGACAAAAGAAAGAUGCUACUCUACCCAGCAUCGGAAUAGGCCGGCCUCUCCCUGAAAAAGGAAUCUCAUAUAAUUUUCAGGAAAAUUACCCCCCCACCCCACUCCACCACCAUCCAGGCUGUUAUAUAAACACACCACCGUCACUCUCUCUCUUUCUUGCUCUCUCUCUCUCUUUCUUGCUCUUGAUCUUUUUGAAACCCCGAGUGAAGGAAUGGAGGAGCAACAGCAGGAAGGGCGACAUUACUGUCACCCGCAGCAGCUAGGGCCUGCCGGGCUGGUGUGUGGGAGUCUAUCUCUGCAUGUUACUUCCUGGGAGAGAAUGAAACAGAAAGCGCAACGGCCAACCCUCCACAAGGGCUCCUUUCACAUAUGGGGGGGGGGGGGGGGAGAAAGGGAGCGGUAACGUUGAAAUGUGUCUCUUACUUAUUCAUUCAUCCCACAGGGUGUUGUUGUUAGGUUUGAGGUUGGCUUCUCUCUUUCCUCUCCCCUACCAUGCUACGGACUGGUGCUGGUGGGUGACUACUUAUGGUGUGGUUUAUGAGAUGUUAUGCUGCCC
rnacentral:lncRNA from 1 species